CGGACGGGUGAGUAAUGUCUGGGAAACUGCCCGAUGGAGGGGGAUAACUACUGGAAACGGUAGCUAAUACCGCAUAACGUCGCAAGACCAAAGAGGGGACCUUCGGGCCUCUUGCCAUCGGAUGUGCCCAGAUGGGAUUAGCUAGUAGGUGGGGUAACGGCUCACCUAGGCGACGAUCCCUAGCUGGUCUGAGAGGAUGACUAGCCACACUGGAACUGAGACACGGUCCAG
rnacentral:rRNA from 1 species